GGGGUGGAUUAGUGGCGAACGGGUGAGUAACACGUGGGCAAUCUGCCCUUCACUCUGGGACAAGCCCUGGAAACGGGGUCUAAUACCGGAUAACACUCUGUCCCGCAUGGGACGGGGUUAAAAGCUCCGGCGGUGAAGGAUGAGCCCGCGGCCUAUCAGCUUGUUGGUGGGGUAAUGGCCUACCAAGGCGACGACGGGUAGCCGGCCUGAGAGGGCGACCGGCCACACUGGGACUGAGACACGGCCCAGACUCCUACGGGAGGCAGCAGUGGGGAAUAUUGCACAAUGGGCGAAAGCCUGAUGCAGCGACGCCGCGUGAGGGAUGACGGCCUUCGGGUUGUAAACCUCUUUCAGCAGGGAAGAAGCGAAAGUGACGGUACCUGCAGAAGAAGCGCCGGCUAACUACGUGCCAGCAGCCGCGGUAAUACGUAGGGCGCAAGCGUUGUCCGGAAUUAUUGGGCGUAAAGAGCUCGUAGGCGGCUUGUCACGUCGGAUGUGAAAGCCCGGGGCUUAACCCCGGGUCUGCAUUCGAUACGGGCUAGCUAGAGUGUGGUAGGGGAGAUCGGAAUUCCUGGUGUAGCGGUGAAAUGCGCAGAUAUCAGGAGGAACACCGGUGGCGAAGGCGGAUCUCUGGGCCAUUACUGACGCUGAGGAGCGAAAGCGUGGGGAGCGAACAGGAUUAGAUACCCUGGUAGUCCACGCCGUAAACGUUGGGAACUAGGUGUUGGCGACAUUCCACGUCGUCGGUGCCGCAGCUAACGCAUUAAGUUCCCCGCCUGGGGAGUACGGCCGCAAGGCUAAAACUCAAAGGAAUU
rnacentral:rRNA from 1 species